UGUUGCAGGGAGUUGUGGGAGGCUGAGACACUUGCUGAUCAUAUAAAAUUCGACCAUGGGUACAAUGCAAAGAGCCCUGCCAUUGUUAAUUUACUUGAAAUUAUU